CGUAGGUGGCGAGCGUUGUCCGGAAUUACUGGGUGUAAAGGGCGUGUAGGCGGGGACAUAAGUCAGAUGUGAAAUACCGAGGCUUAACUUCGGGGCUGCAUCUGAAACUAUGUUUCUUGAGUGUCGGAGAGGAAAGUGGAAUUCCCAGUGUAGCGGUGAAAUGCGUAGAUAUUGGGAGGAACACCAGUGGCGAAGGCGACUUUCUGGACGAUAACUGACGCUGAGGCGCGAAAGCGUGGGGAGCAAACAGGAUUAGAUACCCUGGUAGUCCACGCUGUAAACGAUGGAUACUAGGUGUAGGAGGUAUCGACCCCUUCUGUGCCGGAGUUAACACAAUAAGUAUCCCACCUGGGGAGUACGGCCGCAAGGUUG
rnacentral:rRNA from 1 species